CACACCACUUCCUCCUCUGUCUCUCUCUUCCUGCCGUGAGGCCUUUUACGGCCUAAACAGAGCGCCGACUCUCGCCGACAGGCUUUUCCUCGCUUGCCUUUUGUCAUGAAUUUUGUGCAUCUUUUGUGCAACAGGAAACACGGGCGCUCUGCCAGAUAAGAAGCGGUUAACCUUGCUCAUUUUGGGGGUAUAAAAUGUCCUUUAUCUCCCGGGAGGGAUCGUGGCAUUUCCUUUCUUGACUCGGCAUUGGCAGCACAACGUGUCCCUGAGGGUUCCCGACUCCCAGAGUCGAGCUGCAGCGAUGGUUUUCGACGGACGUUUGUCUUCCGUCUCUUGCACAUAAACGCUUUCUGCCCGGGUGUUUUUCUGGGAAUGGGACGGGCUUCUCCCCCUCACAGCUCCACCUUGACCAAAACCAGCAGCCCCGACAGGAGACGGCCUGGCGGUGGCGCCGCCAUCUCUCUCCUUGCGCCUGAUCGGCGGCAGAGAGCUGCUCCUCCUCUUGGAGUUCUUCUCCGACGUCCUCCCCGUACGUCCGACCGACCCGCCCAGCAGCCUCUGCUUCAGCUCGUAGCUCGCAGCGGACGGCCCUAUCAGGUGAAGCUUGUCGGCCAUCGGCCUCACGAGCACAGACUGGUAAAUGCUUCUCUCGUACCGAAUCCUCUUCCAGAGAGCAUGGCCGUCCCGGUCCAUGUCCUUCAGAGGAACCUCCUGUGUCCGCAGUGACUUGCUGAGAUCAUCCAUGAGGCUCUGUAGUUUACCGGCAGCCACUCUGGCGCUCUUCCCCAGUAAAAUGAUGACGCAGCUUUCGCCGACUUCCCUCCGCUCCAUUUUCACAUCAUGGCUGGUCAUGAUGCUGUUAAUGUCCUUCAUCCGGAGCUGCUCCGCGUACCUCAACACAUCUGUUUCAACGACAAAGGACUCCCUUCCAGGCCCGAAGGAGCCGCACUGGCCUGGUGGUGGAGAAAACGAGGCCCUGCUCUCCUGAGAGGACGGAUGUCUGUUGGGGGGAGGCGCCCAAGGCGGGGGGGAGGCGUGGUUGGGCGAGGACGGAGGCUUGUCUCGGCCUCUGCCGACGUCUGUCACGGCGCUGUUGCCGCCGGGGCGUUUGGAAACAGCUCCGGAGGAAUUCUUCGGGCCCGCCGAGGAGGUUUGUGAGCCGAGAAGCGGCUCCAGAGAGGCCUUCGCAGCCUUCAGGUCCCGAAAGAAUCCCUUCACGCGCACCUGGUCGCCGUCCACAUCCGUCAACGCAAGGCCAUGCGACCGGAGGACGCCCCGCACCGCUGCCUGGUUGGGGAAAACGCCCAAGAGCACCGUUGCCUCCACUGGGAAAUCCAUCUGAGAAUGAGAGGGGGAGAACAUGGCAACGUGAAGAGUCAAGCAGACAAACAGUUGUGACUAGGCGAAGGGUUAAUGAGCUCAGGUACCUCAACCCACUCGGGUGCUUUCAAUGUUCAAUGCAGCUGUCGACGAUUCACCUCCAACGCACGGCGCAGCUCUUUCGGGAGACUCUCGUCACAGCUGUGGAAGUGGAGACAUGAUUGGACUUUGUUACGCAGGAGCUGUAUUAGUGCUACAUUUUCCCUGUAUAACCAAAUAUUAGCCGUCAUUUGUCCCUUUUGUAUUCUAUCUAUUUUGAUUAUAUAACGAUUAAAGGCACGGCAGCCAACUCAGCUGUGCUCAAGGUA